CGAGGCAUAUUUGCAGGGAUU
rnacentral:miRNA from 1 species